UUAAGUCAUUAAUAUUACUUACUGACGAGUAAUCUAAAAUAAAAAGGUGGUGUUGAAUGUGGAUAUUGUGUAAUGCGGUACAUGAAAGAGAUAGUCUUGGAUGAAUAUCCCCAAUUGGAGAUGAAGUUUGCAACAUCAAAAAACAAACAGUAUUACAAUCAAUCUCAGUAUGAUGAAGCCAGAAGUGAAUGGAGCGAAGUCGUCUACUUCUAUAUAGGUGCUUAAGUGUAGGCUGUGAUAUAAAUUUUGGAUUUAUU